rnacentral:rRNA from 1 species
CUGGGAAUCUUGCGCAAUGGGCGAAAGCCUGACGCAGCGACACCGCGUGUGGGAAGAAGUAUCUAGGUAUGUAAACCACUGUGGCGAGGGAUGAAUUUUGACAGUACCUCGCUAGAAAGCACCUGCUAACUACGUGCCAGAAGCCUCGGUAAUACGUAGGGUGCAAGCGUUAUCCGGAUUUACUGGGCGUAAAGUGUAUCGUCGGCGACUCGAUAAGUCUCUUGUUUAAACUCAGGGCCCAACUCUGAGAUUGCUGGGGAAACUAUCGAGAUAGAGUCUGUUCGGGGGAACUGGAACACUCAGUGGAGGGGUGAAAUCCGUAGAUAUUGAGUGGAACACCAACGGCGAAGGCAGGUUCCUAGGGCAGCACUGACGCUCAUGAACGACAGCUAGGGGAGCAAAAGGGAUUAGAGACCCCUGUAGUCCUAGCCGUAAACUAUGGAUGCUAGUUGUCCCGUCUUUGACGGGAUGGCGUAAGCUAACGCGUUAAGC